GGAGGAUGGAGGAGAGAGAGAAAGAGAAGGCAAAAAAGAAAAAGAGAGAGAAAUCUUUACUGAUGACUCAGAUGGACUCCAUGUUAUGUUCUUGUGAACUUGUCAUAACCUCUAUUGUACUGUCGCUCCAUCCUACCCCUACCCCUUGUUCUAGGAAUCUUCUCUUAUCACAGGGUUGGGCCCAGACUAAAAAUCCAACAAUGGCUGGUCUUAUUCACAUACACUCCUACUGGAAGGAGAAGGGUGAGAUGCCUUUGAUAUCCUCUGUAUAGGAAGAACAAAGGAGAACUUACUCAGACUUUGGAUGAAGCCCAUUUGUAACUAGUGACACCACUGCCGAGAAACAAGAAAGUAGAGUGCCUUGUCCCCUUUUCAGGUUAAAGUAUUGCAUUCUUAAGAGAAAAAUUGUAGAAAGAAAAGAGCUCUUGAACCUCUGGAGCAAGAUAUCCAGUGAAGGAUCAGAAAUCUAUACUUUGCUUAGCUGUGCUCAGGAGAACCGGAGACAGAAGAUUUUGUUCCCACUUGUGGCAGAGAAUUCAAGGGGAUGCAGACAUUUCUGGGGGCAGGCUGGUGGCAGAGGAAUUUGAUGUGAGCAAGUCCCAGGGGAAAAGUGAAACUGUCGAACAAUAUCGGAUCUGCUUUGUGAGAUAUCUUUUUCUCCUUGGACUUUCAUCUUCUAGGGAAAAACCUCAGCUGUUUUAACAGGAGAACUGAGAGCAGCAAUAGGACCUAAACCUGAGGUCUGAUAGAUCACGCACAUGGAACUCACACACUUGUGCAUCACUCAGGACUUGGUUCUGUGACCAGAAAUGAAUAAAACUCAAAGGUGGAAUUGUUAAUACACACAGGAAUUUUUGUCAUCUCCCGUCUGUAAUAAAAGAGAAAUUCUAUUUCAAGUUCUGUAUUCCUUGUGAGAUUAUAUGCUAAUGUUAAUUCACAAGGUCCUUGAAUACAUAUAGGAUAGAUUUGCACAAACAGCUCAGCAUGUAAGUUUAUCAGUAACUAUGUAUCAGUAGGCUCAUUUCCAGGGAUUGCUUACAUGGAAUGAAUCCUGUGUCUACAAUAGCCUUUGUCAUUGCUAUUGUCUCCCCCAUCUCUAACUAGAUAGCCCUCCUGUGUCGUUCCAGUGACCAAGAAGCAAAUAUGAAAAAUGAACCAUCAAUCAAUUUAAUAUUAGAUUUUCUUUCACACAGAAACCUCCACUCAGUGAUGAUGACUGACAUAAGAGCUAAAUCCACCUGCCUUAUCAUUCCUCUCCAAAAGGACAAGUCUAAAAAGAAGAGAAGAGGAGAAAUACUUAGGAUUAGCCUGAACUUUUGCCACUGGUCUGCUGUUGUACUAAUAAUCUAUCUUUGUAGAGGGAGGAAGUCAACUGCUAGACUAGUCCUCUUCC
rnacentral:lncRNA from 1 species